AUUGAACGCUGGCGGCAUGCCUUACACAUGCAAGUCGAACGGCAGCACGGGGCAACCUGGUGGCGAGUGGCGAACGGGUGAGUAAUGCAUCGGAACGUGCCAUUGAGUGGGGGAUAACGUAGCGAAAGUUGCGCUAAUACCGCAUAUUCUGUGAGCAGGAAAGCAGGGGACCGCAAGGCCUUGCGCUCUUUGAGCGGCCGAUGUCAGAUUAGCUAGUUGGUGAGGUAACGGCUUACCAAGGCGACGAUCUGUAGCGGGUCUGAGAGGAUGAUCCGCCACACUGGAACUGAGACACGGUCCAGACUCCUACGGGAGGCAGCAGUGGGGAAUUUUGGACAAUGGGCGCAAGCCUGAUCCAGCCAUGCCGCGUGAGUGAAGAAGGCCUUCGGGUUUGG
rnacentral:rRNA from 1 species